rnacentral:rRNA from 1 species
GGGCCCGCACAAGCGGUGGAGCAUGUGGUUUAAUUCGACGCAACGCGAAGAACCUUACCUGGGCUCGAAAUGUACAGGAAUCCGGUGGAAACAUCGGCGUCCCGCAAGGGACCUGUAUAUAGGUGCUGCAUGGCUGUCGUCAGCUCGUGUCGUGAGAUGUUGGGUUAAGUCCCGCAACGAGCGCAACCCUUACUUCCAGUUGCCAUCAUUCAGUUGGGCACUCUGGCAGAACCGCCUCGGAUAACGGGGAGGAAGGUGGGGAUGACGUCAAGUCCUCAUGGCCUUUAUGUCCAGGGCUACACACGUGCUACAAUGGUCGGUACAAACCGUCGCAAACCCGUGAGGGGGAGCUAAUCGGAAAAAGCCGACCUCAGUUCGGAUCGCAGUCUGCAACUCGACUGCGUGAAGCUGGAAUCGCUAGUAAUCGCGGAUCAGAAUGCCG